rfam:Tupaia chinensis contig24409, whole genome shotgun sequence.
CCUCAGGCUUUUUUCAAAGCCACAAUAAUGUUACAUUGACCUAACAU